UUAAAAGGGAAAGAAUUUUAAUAAAUCUACUUAAAAAUGUUGUUUGGAUUCUUUCCUUAACUAACAAUAUUUUUGAUCUUACCAUAAUAUUUAAUUAAAAAUAAAUAACCAAAAAUUUCUCUAACAAACAUUUAAUAAUACAUUUAUUUAUUAGACCACAUUAUUUUGUACAAGAACAAAGUUAUACGACAUAUAUGCUUUCCUUUAUUAGGUAACAGUGCAUUUCCUACACAAAAAUAAUGUACCACAUAUAUUCUAUUAUAUUAUUCUCUAAACAUGUCUCAUUAGUCUCAUAAUUAAUAAAUGACUCAUUUUACCCAAUAUAAAUAAAUUAUAUAAAUCGUUUGAUCCACUAACUAUGUAACAAUACACGCCAUCCUUUCUAUACUUCUGUUUUAAAUUAUGAAAAAAACUAAUGCAUAUAUUUGCUAAGAAUAUAUCUUACUUCGAAAAGUAUCUAAAUUUGAAACAAAUCAAAAAUUAAAUAUUCUUAUACUUUUAUCCUAUUUUAAAAACCAAGAUAUAGCAACAUUUUUACAAAAUAUUUUAAACAAAAAAUAAUAUACCGCAUAUAUGCUAUUUAAAUUCAAUAACUUUAUCAACCUUAACAGAUUUCAUAACUCAUUUAAAAAUUAACAUAUAUCAUACAUCAUACUAUACCAUGUCAUCAUACAUUAUAUAUUUCCAAAUAUACUAUUAAAUUAUCAUAAAAUUUGUUAUUUAAAAUAAGUUUUAAAACUAUUAAAAACCUUACAAAUUUAUACUAUUAAAUUAGCCAAAAAUAUUUCAAGUACAUCUUCAAGAUAAUCAACUCAAAAAUGUAACUCUUAUAAAAUGCAUACAAAAUACAAUCAGAGAUUGUAAGGUCAAAAAAAAAAAAUACAAUCAGAGAGUGUAGGUCUGAUCUCAGUCAGCAGGUGGAGUUCAUUUCGGGUCAUAAAUAUUUGGACAUAACUAGAUAUUUAAUUUUUGGGUUUAGGUUUGGAUUGGUUCUUUUCAGGUCCUGAUCGGUUCGAAUCUAUAAUUCAAAUACCUAUAAAAUACAUGUAAUUUUUAGGUACGUAACAAGUCCGAAUUAGUUUGGAUAUUGAGGAACCAAAAAAAUACUCGAAGUACCUGAAAACCCAAAAAAAUACUGAAACACAUACCCAAAAACCCAAACAAGUACCCAAAAUAUUGAAAAACCGAAAAGAUCCAAAAUUUUACCUGAAAUCUGACCCGAGGAACCAAAAAAUACCCAAAAAAAUUUCCGAAUACCCUAUAUAUUUUUUAUUACAAUUUUACUCAAAACCCGAAACUAAAAUCGAAAACCUGAACGCAAAACUUAAAAAGUAUUCGCAAUAGCUAAAACAUAUCUAAAAUACUCGAAUAUACCUAAUAUACACAAAAAUUCAGGUACUUGGGUAUUAGGUCGGGUCUCGGUUAGGAUAUUGACUCAAAGAAAACUUGCGGGUCCAAAAAAAACUGAAUAUGUACUUUGUUUGCCCUAGAUCCAAAUCCAAACAGCACCAAUAUUUCCAAAUCGAUUUCAGUUUGGUUUCACGGAUCUGGUAAAAUGUUCAUAUCUAAGAGAGAGAAUUACAUAAGAGUAUAUAUAUAUAAAAUCAUAAAUAAAUUAAUUCAUAAAUUAUACAAUUUUAAAUAAAUUUCUUCUUCGAUAUAAUAUAACUUUUGUAACAUAAUAAUGCAUAACAAUUUUAAAAUACAAAUUCAUAAUCUUUGUUGACAAUCCAAAGAAAAAAGCGCGGGUCAAAAUCUAGUAUAGGCUUAAACUGAUAGCCGCAAUGACAGAAAUUCCAAAAUAAAUUACAAAAUGGAUUCAGAUUAUAAUUUUUGGAGAGGAAUCCAAUUACAAUUGCAAUCAUGUAAAGCUUAUUUGAAGGAUGAUUUAAAUUUAAUUAUUUAUCUUAUUAUAUAAAUUUUAUUAUUUUUAAGGAACAGAUAUAAAAAUAUUUUUAAGAUAAAAUAAAAUAUCCUUUAACCCUAAAAAGUUUGUGUCACAAAUAUAAGCCGUAAAGAUUAAAAUGGUCAAAAUAUUUCAUUAACAAGGUAAAUAUACAUAUAUAUCUCUAGUGUUAACUAAUCUAGAUCUUAUGGUUUAGAUUUAAAGGGUGAAGUUUUGGGUUGGGUUUUAAACUUUUAAAAAUAAAAAAUAAAUAUUAAAAGUUUUAAAAUAGUUUCAAAAAAUAUUUUCGAAUUCAAAAUAUUUAUUUUUGAAAAAAAAUUAUAAAAAAAUCAAAAACAAAUUUAUAAAAAAAAGUUCAAAAUAAUUUAAAACUAUAAUUUUAUUUAUUUAUUAAUUUCUAUCUAUAUAUAUACGGUGUAAGAGUCUUUUGUCUCUUUAAUGAAACACUUUUGUCAUUUUUCUCUUUUGUGAUUUUUUUUUGUGACAAAUUUAUACAAUAAUCAUUUCAUAAUGUGUUCAAUAUGUUACUUACCAGGUAUGACACGCUGAAGUGAAGUGCUGCCACAAGCUGUACCGAGACCAUCGUUAUCUGAAAGCGAAACAUUUUAAUGAUUUUUAAAGAUGAAGUCAAAUGUGAUGAGAUGAGCUCUCAGGAUAUUUUUCGUGAUAGAUAAUAGUAGAAGCUUUUUGUGAAUAGAAUAAGCAUUUUUGUUUUGAUGAUUCCCAAAGCACCUUAUUUUCAGUCAAAACCCCAAGAAAUUCAGAACACAAAAGCUUUUGUAAAAGAGAUAAUAUAUAAAACCAUCGAAUGUGCCAUUUUGGAAUAUGGUAUGGACAAGUGAGGUCAAUCGAAUUGAUGAUCCUCAAAAUCGUAAACAUAAAAAAGGAUCGAGCUCUCCAUUUGGGGUUCCCCGUGGAUGCACUAGAUUCACGAAAGAAAGCCUACAAUAGAAAUUAGGAUAAGACAUGUCUUUUGCGCAUAGCAAAUUUAUAUGAAAAUUAUUUAAUAAAUAUCGUACGCAAAAAUAAAAUUUAUAUUCUUGAUCGAAUUAAUAUUUUUGGCACUUAAAUAAUUUUUUAAAAACUUUUUUGUUAAUUACAUAAUUUGUUUACUGAUGAGCUCAUCGUAUUUUUAAAAAUAUUUUAGGUCAAAAACUCACUUAUCGCAUAAGAACCUAACGUUUAGUCCGAAGAAUCUCAAGCCUACUAUUUGGUUACAAUGAAACUAUAUCAUCUCGAUUUUAUAUUAUGAUUUAGCAAUUUAAAAGUUAAUUAUGGUUAUGAGAAGUUUACGUUCACGUGCCAAUCCUAUCUACCUUCAAUAUUUAUUUUUUCAUUUUUGUGUUGUUUUUUUUUUCAUUUUGGUUAUUGCUAAAUAUUGAUUUUUGUGUUUUUUCUCAUUUCGUUGUUUUGUUCUGACCUGAGAUUUAGAAAAUAUUAGAUGGACUACCUGCACGCAUGUGCGGGCAUUAACAUUAAUAUUAAAUUGAUAAUUACAUAUUUACAACUAUAUAAUAUUUAUGUUACAUGUAUGUGGUUAAUAUGAAAGGUUCGAUGUUACAUAUUGAUAUUUAUACUAUGUUCAUAUGAACAAAGAAUACAGUAGAACGUUUAGAUUAAAAAAUUUCAGUGUUUCGUAUAAACAAUAUGAGUUAUGAAAAAUACAAGAAAUUUUUACAUUCUAAGACACAUUAUGACUUAUGAAUUACACAUAUAGACACAUUCUGCUGGUCAGGCACUUUAUGGAUGUGUAUUGUCCUUCAUGCCCUCAAAUUAGACCAAAUAUCUCAUCUAAUUAAUUAAAGAGAAAAGACUAUUUCUUAUUAUUGAAAAGUCACGAGUCACAUAUUCUCUCUCCAUUCCUGAUUUCAAAACUCAGAUCUACUUUCCCUUUCCCAAAUUCCCAACCCUAAUUUCGAAUCUCUUCCAUUCUUCCUUCAUCGUUCGUUGAAUCACACCAUGAACCCAGAUUUUUUUAUGCUUGUUUUGUUUCCAUGAUUCCCUCUCCAACUUUCUACCCAUCUUCCUCCGCUUCCCGAUAAUUCUCAGAAAACCCUUUUGAUAUCUUCAAACAAACCAUGACGAAAUUGAAGCCAAAUAAGAAAGAGAAUAAAUCCAAGACUUCUGAGGAACCAACCCCUCGCAAAUCACAGCAGGAGAGCGGUGGAACGACUUUUUCUGUUCUGAAGAGAACAUGGGCGGUGGUUACUGGUGGCUGGAGUUGUCUUGGUGUCUAGACGGACAUGGCUCCUUUCAUCCAAACCCGAGUGAACUUAGAAGGCUCUGCUCUUUCGAACACGAAGACGUGAACUCCCUCUGCUCUUUAUCUUCAAAUGCUUUGAAAGCACUCUCUAGGAAUAAGGAUAUUGAAAAUUGAACUCCCCAAAACCAUUUAAAUGCUUCGAAAGGUACAAUUUUUGGAUAAUCUUCAAGUUCUAGCGACUCCACUGUGUUUGUAGUUGUAUUUUCUAUUGUAUCCACAAAUCAAACAUGUAUUUUUCCGUCCACGAGUAAAUGUACUUAUCCAUGGAACCUUGUCCACAAUACUUUUUUUUGGAUCGAACUCCUUGUACACAAAAAAAAACUUCAUACAUAUAAAUUGUAGGUUUAGAAAAAAGCUAAAAAAAUAUAUGGAUUAAUAAAACUCUUUAAAUGUUUGAUAUGAACUCGUCCAUUAAAAAAAAUAUGAUACGUUAUUUUCAAAUUUUAGAUGAAAAUGAGUAUGUUCUUUCAAAAACCCGUCCACAAAAUUUUACCUUUCUCCUCCUAGCUGUAGCUCGUUCCAGUUUCAAAAAAGCAGCGAAACCAUGAAUUUAUUAUUAAAAUCUACUUCUUUUACACACAAAAGCUCAUCACCCUUAGAUCUAUUGACAUCCAACGGCUCCCCAGGAAUCUAAUUUAUAUUAUGUUUGGUCCCCACAAACCAGUCAGAAUUAAAAAUUAAUAAAAUUCUAAGGAUGGUUCGGUUCAGCCAGCGAGGGGCAGUAUAGUCUAUAAUGUGAUGUGUCAUGAGAGAAAGUGUCCCUCCAGCAAGUUGUGUCUGAAUGUGUUAAAAAAGAUAAAAAAGUGUCCCAAACCGUUAUCAACUCAAAAUACAAAGUACCUUAAGUCCAUAAAGUAGAGAAACCAGACCUUAAGACCAAGGCUUCGAGUUCUGUCUAGAUUAAGGUAAAACCCACACAUCAUAUAAGAUCAUAUUUUCCAUGUCUUGAGCGCCAGAUCAUCAUGAAGAGUGCUCUCGAUUUUCUUAGCACCAACAUCUUUCCAGUCUAUUGAAAGCACUGUCCCAAUAGAUUCCACCUGUUGAUUGUGCAAAAUUGCAAAAUAGUCAAUUAAAAUGCCAAAAGCAUUGUAAUCUCCAAGAGAGAAGAAAGACUAAAUAGGAAUAUAGAUAGAUAGAUACUCACAAAUGAUUUGCUCUAGCCCUCCUCAUAUCCUCAUCAGAAUUCAAAUAUAUCUCACGGAAGAACUUUUUCAAAGCAGCGUCUCUUUCAAGCUUAUCAUCCUUCUAUUCUUCUUCACUUCACCUUCAAGUUUGUCAUAGUCCUUUACUUUCUUGGAAGAAGGAUAAGCCGGUCUCAUUGAAACCUCUGCACCAUUACACAAACAAAUAAUAUAAAUUUUAAAAUGUCAAGAGUCUGUGAUUCAAACUUCUCAUCAGGUGAAACUAAAUAAUAAGAAAAUAGGAAGUAGAUAACCUUUUUAAGAAAUUCGGGUCUGGCAAAACUGCUGGUUGUUUGCCAUGUUCAAGAGAGGCCCAUGUGAUUAUCUCUGCUUUUAAAAGACUUUUCUUAAUUUUGGUUGAUAUUACUUCAUAUAUGCACUUCACUACUGCUAUCUAAAUACACACCGCAAGGAAAAAAAAAGUCAAUACAAUGUGUACAACUCAGAACAUGGUAUUGUUUGAGUUUAAAAUGACUGCUUGGUACUAUCUAAUAAAACGUAUCAUUUAUAUCUGAUAAACCGUAUCCUUUAGAUACAUAACUCUUUGAACUGCUUAUAGGUUAAACAUGAUUAUUCUGUUAGUUCAAAAAGUUAGAGUUCAAAAGGUUUAAAUGGACUGCUUGGUACUAUCUAAUAAAAUGUAUCCUUUAGAUGUCAAUUAUCUAAUUACAUCUAUAAACCAAUUAUCUUUUCCAAUAAUCUCGGUUUGAGAUGAUAUGCUUUCUCUCUUGGAACAUCAGUCACAAUACUCAGAUGAAAAAUCACUAACAUAAUUGACACAAUUUACAUAGAAGUGUUUAUCAUGGAAGUGUGUUCUGAGAAUGCAUUAUGCUUCAAACGAUCACAUUUAACACUAAUCUUAAAACAUCAGAAAAAUAUAAUUGAGAAAAAAUAAAUAUUUCACGCAUAACCCCAAUAAAAAAAACCAGCCAUGAAAUAUAAAAAAGAGAUUUGAAUUACCUAAGAUUUAUUAUCAUUGGUUUCAUUGUAACAGCAUAGAUGAUUUACGGUUUCCUUCUCUAAGCCUUGAGUCAGAAAAGAGGUAAUUCAAACAAAAAUAUUUGAAGAUGUAAACAAUCCUCAAAAGAUAACAAAUUAUAUAAUUUGUAGGACAACGUCAAUGAGUUUCAAAUUUUUUAAAAAGCUUUGAGAUUACCUUUAGUUCUCAGACGUACCUGAAGAGGAGCACGCACAAUAAAUAAAUUGCACUUGAUUAGCAUACACAUCCUAUAUUAUAUUCUUGCUAAGUGAUUUAACUUUAUAGAAUUUUCUUUUUCGAAAGGGACGAUGAGUUCCUGGAUAAACAUAGUCGUCUUUUUUUUGUUAGUUGAAUCACUACUGAUGCAAAAAUAUAGAUAGAUAUACAAUAUUGAGAGGAAGAGAAUAAAAAUAAACGGAGAAGAAGAAUCCCUAUAAAAUUAUCAGUAAUGGUGUUUCCGUCUAUGAGUUAUUUAUUGAUUAUCAUACAACUGCGCAAGAUUACAAAAGUAGAAUUUAAAUUAGAACGAUCAAAACAUAUGAAAACUUAAAAGAUAGAUGCGUGAAACUAAUGGGGUGGCGUGAUAUUUAUAUAGCAAAUUAGUUUAAGUUUUUAAAUGACCUAGCUUUCAAGAGAAACUAUGAGAUAGAAUAUCCUCUAAUAAAUUUUUAUUCAGCUAUGAGAUAGAAUAUCUUUUAAUAAAAUUUUAAAGAUAUUCUGGUUAUAAUAUAUACAUAAUUUUGGUAAAUCAAAUCUUGCUAUAUAUAUAUUUAAAUAUUAAAUGCAACAUAUUAGGAAAGAAUAUAUCUCGUCAGUUGAUUGCAACUGGUUUUUGAUAAAACAAAUCUCACUUUAAGGAUUUAAAUAAUU